rnacentral:antisense_RNA from 2 species
UGCAAUGGCGGCUGUGCGUGGGAGACCUUCGGGUCUGCCGGGUCGUGCAUACCGGUUUCUCAGCCUGCGCACAGCUGCCACCCAU